GCUUGCAGAAGGGAUGUGCUGCAAUAGGAACGUUGCGUGGUUCAUCCAUACCUGGGACAGUUUUGUUUGAUGGGACAGGAGCAGGGCUGGGCUUGAGGCUUCUGCCCCGUUUGAUCCCAGUUGUACAGAUGGAAACCACAGGGAGGAACAUGCACAGUGCUGCCCUCUCUGCUGAUGGGGUCACGGCAGGAGCUGGGCUGCAGUGGGAUGCUGUGCUUGUGGGUACUACUGUGAGGAUGCUGUAAGCAGCAAAAAGCUCAGCAUGGCUUUAUUUGUGCUGUGCAGAUCUCCUUGUAGCUGUUUAUGGAGGUUGUGGGUGCCCUAUCCCUAGAAGUCCCUGAGGCCUUAGAAGGGCUCCGGGCAGCCUGAGCUCGAGGAGGGGGGGGAAGGAGGGGAGCAGCCAGCCCAUGGCAGGGGUUGUGCUGGGAGAUCCCUUCCAACCCAACCAUUAUGUGAUUGUAUGACAGAUUUCAAUAGAUCUGGGAUGUAGCUUUGUACAACAAGAGAAUGUGGUGUUUCCAGUUUCUUAGCAUGGGAUUUUACCCCAUGAUAGACAGUGAGAUGGGAGAAGACUUAAUAGGACAAGCUGCUUCUCCCCAAGAGCGGUCAGGCACUGGCACUGCUGCCCAGGCAGGUGGGAGGGAGGGGUUAAUGUCCCUGUGUAUGGGAACUAUUGAAUCACAGCAUCAACCACUGAUUGAGCACCUGGGGAAAGGACCUGGUCAACACUGGGAGCAGAGGCAAAGGCAAUUCAGCUGCGUGACCAGAAGGGGUGGAAUCUGGCUGCAGCUCUCUUAGACCCCGUUUAAGGGCUGACUGCCACUGCGGAGGGGUCUUUUCCUGGAGAUCCCUCCAUGGUGAAGCUUUCCCCUGUGAACCUUGAAUCUUCUGAUACAACUAUCUUUAUUCAAAGGGAGGGAGCUCCUUGAGUGGAUGUGGGGGAUAACUGAUCCUGCAUAGCUAAUUAGAUAUCUAUUGGUGAAAGGAAACUGAAGAAAAGUCACACCUGAAACAGAGAAACCCAGAGCGAGAGACGCAGCCCUGCUGUACACAGGAAAGCUCAGAGCAUCACCAGCCCAAGAAAUGCCCUGGCUGUGUUCAUACCCAGCACAAGGCUACGUGAAGGGGAGAUGCCCUCACCUUUCCGGAUGGGAGAUGCUGCAGAUCCUCGGGAUGUUUUGGGGUGCUGCAGUGGGACAGGAGCUGCAGAGCCAGCAUGAGGUUCUGCGGGGUGGUGCAGUGAGGUGGGGGGAAGCUGUCUGUGCACGAGGACUGCAAUAUUGAGGCAGAGGCUUGGCUGUUGCACUUCUUAUGCAGUCAUGCUGCAGCUUAGCAAAAGGAACUUCUAUUAUUUUUAUGAUCAGUUUAGUUCUGCCUGUUGAGAAGGAGAGUGAUGCCCUGCACUGCUGCUUGCGGCGGGCAGCACUGCCCUCUAGUGCGGCUGUAUCUGUUGGCUGAAUGCUGGGGUUGGUGUUUUUUUUUAUGUUUCUGGUUUCUUUCCUUGUUUUUGGUUUUUGUUUUUUGUUUUUUU